rnacentral:rRNA from 1 species
CCCCUAGACGUUCUGGGCUGCACGCGCGCUACAAUAAUACGCACAGCGAGUAUCACCGAGCUCGAAAGGGCAAGGUAAACAAUAGAAAAGGUACUGUAAUGGUUAUAGAUCCUUGUAAUUAUUCAUCUUCAACGAGGAAUUCCUAGUAAGUAUGUGUCAUCAUCACGCACUGAUUACGUCCCUGCCCUUUGUACACACCGCCCGUCGCUCCUACCGAUUGGGUGAGCCGAUGAAACUCUCGGAUGUAGGCUAUUCAUAGCCCGCAGAAGAGAUUUGAAUCGUAGCGCUUAGAGGAAGGAGAAGUCGUAACA